rnacentral:rRNA from 1 species
UCUAAGCACAAGCCUAAGAAUGGUAAAGCCGCGAAUGGCUCAUUACAACAGCCAUAGUUUACUGGAUCUUACUUUCCUACUUGGAUAACUGUGGUAAUUCUAGAGCUAAUACACGCAUGAAAGCUCUGACCUUUUGGGAGGAGCGCAUUUAUUAGAACAAAACCAAUCGGGCCUUCGGGCCCGCCAAUUGGUGAAUCUGAAUAACUUUGCAGAUCGCACGGUCUCGUACCGGCGACGUAUCUUUCAAAUGUCUGCCUUAUCAACUUUAGAUGGUAGUUUACACGCCUACCAUGGUUGUAACGGGUAACGGAGAAUAAGGGUUCGACUCCGGAGAGGGAGCCUGAGAAAUGGCUACCACAUCCAAGGAAGGCAGCAGGCACGCAAAUUACCCACUCCCGGCACGGGGAGGUAGUGACGAAAAAUAACGAGGCGGUUCUCUACGAGGCCCGCCAUCGGAAUGGGUACAAUUUAAA